GAUGAACGCUGGCGGCGUGCCUAAUACAUGCGAGUCGAACGCUGGAAAUCUAGCUUGCUAGAUUGAAGGAGUGGCGAACGGGUGAGUAAUACAUAAGCAACCUACCCACGAAGACUGGGAUAAUCUCUGGAAACGGGGACUAAUACCGGAUAGGUAAUCGGAAGGCAUCUUCUGAUUAUUAAAGGUUAAAAACCCUGGUGGAUGGGCUUAUGGCGCAUUAGUUAGUUGGUGAGGUAACGGCCCACCAAGUCGAUGAUGCGUAGCCGGCCUGAGAGGGUGAACGGCCACAUUGGGACUGAGACACGGCCCAGACUCCUACGGGAGGCAGCAGUAGGGAAGUGUCGGCAAUGGGGGAAACCCUGACCGAGCAACGCCGCGUGAGUGAUGACGGCCUUCGGGUUGUAAAGCUCUGUUGUAAGGGAAGAACGGUAGAUAGAGAAUAUCUAAAUGACGGUACCUUACCAGAAAGCCACGGCUAACUACGUG
rnacentral:rRNA from 1 species